AUUGAACGCUGGCGGCAGGCCUAACACAUGCAAGUCGAGCGGAUGAUGGGAGCUUGCUCUCUGGUUUAGCGGCGGACGGGUGAGUAAUGCCUAGGAAUCUGCCUGGUAGUGGGGGAUAACGUUCCGAAAGGAACGCUAAUACCGCAUACGUCCUACGGGAGAAAGCGGGGGAUCUUCGGACCUCGCGCUAUCAGAUGAGCCUAGGUCGGAUUAGCUAGUUGGUGAGGUAAAGGCUCACCAAGGCGACGAUCCGUAACUGGUCUGAGAGGAUGAUCAGUCACAGUGGAACUGAGACCCGGUCCAGACUCCUACGGGAGGCAGCAGUGGGGAAUAUUGGACAAUGGGCGAAAGCCUGAUCCAGCCAUGCCGCGUGUGUGAAGAAGGUCUUCGGAUUGUAAAGCACUUUAAGUUGGGAGGAAGGGUUGUAGAUUAAUACUCUGCAAUUUUGACGUUACCGACAGAAUAAGCACCGACUAACUUCGUGCCAGCCGCCGCCGUAAUAC
rnacentral:rRNA from 1 species